rnacentral:lncRNA from 10 species
GUGAACUACAUAUGCAAGGGAUCUGGGAUCUAGGUUGCUUGCUCCUUAUGAGAAUCUAAUGCCUGAUGUGUCAUUCUGUCCCAUCACCCCCAGAUGGGACCAUCUAGUUUCAUGAAAACAGGCUCAGGGCUCCCACUGACUUAAUGAGAGGAACCUUAACCCCAAAGCAGCCUGCCUUAAGAGAAGGGAAGAAGAAAAAGUUUCUGCCGUAUCGGCAGAGCCGCCAACCACACUGCCAGGAACCCAUCCUGGGCUUAGUGAAACUACCAACCCUAUGGGUCAUAUGUAAACAUCAGCCAGUUCCAGAGUUAUCAGUAGGCUAGAUAGAAGGUGACCUCUCCUCAUAAGGACUUGGACAACUCAGAUUAUCUGAAGACACAAACCUGACAGGAGGGAGAAGAAAAAACAAAACACUUGAACCAAGAAACUCAAAUGUAAUCCUACGAUCAAAGCAACUGGUCAACACUUCCAUCAGAAGUGAAGAUAGGAAGCUCAUCAGAUAGAACAUCAGCCCAUGAGAUGUUUGCAACAAAUCUUUUGUUGCAAGCAGUGUGUCGCUUCUGC